CCUACGGGAGGCAGCAGUGGGGAAUAUUGCACAAUGGAGGAAACUCUGAUGCAGCGACGCCGCGUGAACGAUGAAGGCCUUCGGGUCGUAAAGUUCUGUCCUAGGGGACGAUAAUGACGGUACCCUAGGAGGAAGCCCCGGCUAACUUCGUGCCAGCAGCCGCGGUAA
rnacentral:rRNA from 1 species